CCUAAUUAAGUCGUUCAACUCCCAUACAUUGGUUUGAAAUUUCGGGGUUCAUGAAGUACUAGACCAAAAAACUAUAAUACCUUCGCAUAAUAAUACCUUGCACUCUACUCUGCUAAUGUUGCUAUGAGCAACGAACUAAUGUUUAUUCAAAUACAAACACGAAAAAUUUAGACUCUGGAAAAUGAAACGUUUGACCUUCGUCCACCCAGAAGGAGUUGCGAACUGCGAUGACCUAACAGGAUUUCAGCGAGCGAUUCCCAUCCAGGUGCGCCGUUGCUGCGGCUGAGUGCGCCUAGGUGAAGCGGGUUGACGUAACUGACCAUGAAUCGCCAAAUACUGAAAUGCUUUCUAUUAGCACUCUUACACACCGGUCCGGAAGUUUCCCCAGAUUUGCACAAGGAUCUGUAUGACCCGAAAGUUCCACGGCAUACCAAACAAAAAAAUGUGUGUAAAUUUGAGCGCAUGAAGCAAUCUUGAUUGUGUCAUAUACUAUUAGCUAUUAAAAUCUCUCAGUAUCAA